rnacentral:rRNA from 1 species
AUUGAACGCUGGCGGCAUGCCUUACACAUGCAAGUCGAACGGUAACAGGUCUUCGGAUGCUGACGAGUGGCGAACGGGUGAGUAAUACAUCGGAACGUGCCUAGUAGUGGGGGAUAACUACUCGAAAGAGUGGCCAAUACCGCAUGAGAUCUACGGAUGAAAGCAGGGGAUCGCAAGACCUUGUGCUACUAGAGCGGCCGAUGGCAGAUUAGGUAGUUGGUGGGAUAAAAGCUUACCAAGCCGACGAUCUGUAGCUGGUCUGAGAGGACGAUCAGCCACACUGGGGCUGAGACACGGCCCAGACUCCUACGGGAGGCAGCAGUGGGGAAUUUUGGACAAUGGGCGAAAGCCUGAUCCAGCAAUGCCGCGUGCAGGAUGAAGGCCUUCGGGUUGUAAACUGCUUUUGUACGGAACGAAAAGCCCCGGGUUAAUACCCUGGGGUCAUGACGGUACUGUAAGAAUAAGCACCGGCUAACUACGUGCCAGCCGCCGCCGUAA